UAUGUAAUUCUGAUACAUGAUGGUGGAAAACUUUAAUUUCUUGAUAUACUAAAAUUAAUUAGGACAAAAACUUUAAGGAGGUAAAGUGUAUUUCACCCUUUUUUCUGUUGCUGUUAGGAUACCUCCUGAUCCUUGUGUUUGUUUCUGCUCUUAUGAUAUGUUUUCAUUUAUCAAACACACACACAAACACGCUUGGAAUGGAUGACUAAGUUGAUGCCUUAAUAUAAUCUUUUAUUUAGAUGCACAAAGGGCUUCAUGCCCUGGAAAACUCCUAGAAUCUCCCUUUCAAAAUAAAAGGGUGCAAAUUGAUGGAUUAUUUUUACUGCAGUAAAUAGGGGGAGGGGCAAAUACAUACUUUUUCCAGUUUGUUAAUUACGAGUAAUGUCUAUAUAAUUCUUUGGUUUAUAUAUUCUGUGGGAUGGACUGAAAUUCUAAAGUUAUUUGUAGAUAUCUUAUCCUGCAAAGGAGAGAAUGUGUCUAGAACAUCUCGUAGUGAGAAGAUUUUGCCUAGUGGAAGAAAUGACGGAGGAAAAUUUGGUCCUGAUCAUCCUGGCACCAUGGACAACCUGGAGCAUGUGGAAUCCAGUUUCAACAUUCCAGGUGUUUCAAUUGCCAUGCCCCAAUCUUCUGUGGACCCUGAAUGUAGUAAAUCAAUAUGUAAAAGUGAUCCUGCUCUGCCUGCUAAAACAAAGAAGCUAAGCAUGGAUCGAUCAGACUCAAGAAACCGAAUGCUUCUGCAGAAGAGACUUUUCUUUCACUCACACAGAGUCCAGUAAAUGCAACAACUUUAAGAAAGAUUAGGUACUGGGUAUCUUGUAUUCCAACUCAAUAAGAUAGUGGGGAGGAAAGAGAUAUGCCCGUCGCUAGCAAAACCAGAAAUAUGCUUGAAGGUUUGGUAAAAGAAGGAUCAUUGAAAUGGUUGCUUGGCAAGAAGAGUUACUUUGGUGAAGAAUUUGAAGAGAUGGAAAAUUCUCCUUCUGCUGGGAAGAACUUUAUACGAGAGCUCUCUCCUGUUGCAAACCUAGUUGUUCGUAGAUGCUCAAAAAUCCUUAGGACCUCUUCAAGUGAUCUUCUGGAGAGCUUCAAUCAAGAGGCUUCUGAUUCUAUGAAGCAUCCAUCACGAUAUGCGAGGAACUUUUUGGAAUAUUGUUGUUUCAAAACCCGGUUAGGACUUAUCUUCGAAGACCAUGGAAGCAAUAUUCAAGAACAAUUUUAAUGAAGACUUAUCUUGAUGGCUUUAUCAAUCCUCAAGGUUCGAUGGAAUGGAGUGGUAACUUUGCAUUGAACACACUUUAUUAUGCAGAGUACAUUGAACAGCUACAAGUUCUUUUUUCCUUUUGGCUUCAAGCUUGACUGGUCUUUAACUCAAGAAGAAAAAAAUGCUUUAAUAUUUACCUUGUUGAUCAUUUUAUCCAGCAUAUACUUUUCACUUUUUAUCAAUUAGUAGGCCAU